rnacentral:rRNA from 1 species
CCUACGGGUGGCAGCAGUGAGGAAUAUUGGUCAAUGGACGAGAGUCUGAACCAGCCAAGUCGCGUGAAGGAUGACUGUCCUAUGGGUUGUAAACUUCUUUUAUAUGGGAGUAAAAUGUUCCACGUGUGGGAUUUUGUAUGUACCCUAUGAAUAAGGAUCGGCUAACUCCUUGCCAGCAGCGGCGGUAAUACGGAGGAUCCGAUCGUUAUCCGGAUUUCUUGGGUUUAAAGGGAGCGUAGGUGGAUUGUUCAUUCCGUUGUGAAAGUUUGCGGCUCAACCGUAAAAUUGCAGUUGAAACUGGCAGUCUUGAGUACAGGAGAGGUGGGCGGAAUUCGUGGUGUAGCGGUGAAAUGCUUAGAUAUCACGAAGAACUCCGAUUGCGAAGGCAGUUCACUGGACUGCAACUGACACUGAGGCUCGAAAGUGUGGGUAUCAAACAGGAUUAGAUACCCUAGUAGUC